rnacentral:rRNA from 1 species
UACGGAGGGUGCAAGCGUUAUCCGGAUUCACUGGGCUUAAAGGGUGCGUAGGUGGGCAGGUAAGUCAGUGGUGAAAUCUCCGGGCUUAACCCGGAAACUGCCAUUGAUACUAUUUGUCUUGAAUACCGUGGAGGUCAGCGGAAUAUGUCAUGUAGCGGUGAAAUGCUUAGAUAUGACAUAGAACACCAAUUGCGAAGGCAGCUGGCUACACAAAUAUUGACACUGAGGCACGAAAGCGUGGGGAUCAAACAGG